rnacentral:pre_miRNA from 1 species
AGCAGCCUCAAUGGUGGCAAAUGUUUUAAAUGAUUCAUUUGCGACUGUUAAUCUGCUUU